GUCAAGCUCUUCGCCAGGUCGGCCGCCAUCAACAGCUCGGCCAAGAUCAAGUUGAAGAGCAGUGAGCUGCAGACAAUCAAAACUGAGCUGACACAGAUCAAAUCCAACAUUGAUGCUCUCCUGGGCCGGCUGGAGCAGAUUGCUGAGGAACAGAAGCUGUCUACAGAGGCGCGAAAGAAGGCGGAGAGCAGCAAGAGCGAGGUGUCCCAGGAGGACACGGCCUCCGAGGCCGAGGCUGCUGCCGAGGAGCCGCUCAACGGGGACGAGGACGAGGGGCUGGCCCGGGACGAGUGCGAGGAUGAACUGGAGAACAGCCAUUACACAGACGUGGAGGAUGCCAGGCUACAGUAACCAGGUACAGCUCCCGUGCUGCUGAUGGAGCCAAAGCUCUCCUGUUGGCCUUGGGGGGUUGCUGCUUCAGGAGAGGCUCUUUUCCACUGAUCCUCUGUGUUUUCCUAGCAUGGAGCUUGGCUGCUCAGCUGGGUCACUGGCCAGCCCUUCACCCCUUUCCUGAGUGACAAAUCUCUGGGGUUCAAGGACAGUGCUGUAGCUCCCCCUUCUCUCCUUGCAGCUGUGAGCAACAGUGUGAGGAAAGCACGAGGCUAAACCCUGUCCUGGCACGUUGAGCAAGACAAGCUGAAUGGAAGUGCUGCUGUCAUCUCUACCUGGCAUCCAAAGGAGAAACAUGGCCCGACAUCUUCCAUCCAUCUGUAAAGCAAAGGCAAAGAAAACUCAUCCUCCCAGCAGAUCCCCACCACCCCUGCAAUGGAUUCAGAGCUCUGCAGGCAGCAGUGGAGGCAGGAGCCAGACCUGCACAACCCAGGGCCACCACAGAGACCAGGAGAGCAGGUGUGUCCCCAGGGGAGCCUGAGGUGUCCUAGAGCUGCUUGCAGGAGAGCAGAGAGCACUCAGCCCAGCCGAAUAAAUAUGUUUUUCCUGUGCGAGGUGAGAGCCAGAGCAUUUCCUGAGGGAGGAGUAGUGUCUCAGUUUGGACAGUUUGUGUUCUUGUGCUGAACAUCCUGUUGGGUCAGAGGCUGUGGAGUGAGCUGUCCUCCAGCACGGCCACCUCCUGUCACCUCUCGUGUGCCCCAUGAGCUGCUGUGUGUCCACGGUCACUUCCAGGUGGAAAGGAGUUGGUGCUGGAGCAGCUGCUGUGCUCUGGGAAGCUGCUUGGAGAGGGAAGGGGAGAGGAAGCUGCAGGAAAGCAAGUGAUCCCAAACACGAGAAAGCAAGCAAACGUCACCUUCAGUGGUUUGGUAUCAGGGCUGAGCGAGCCCCUGCAGAGUGAGGGGUGCCAACAGAUGUGGAUGAGCCCCUUUCCUUGGACCAGCUGCUCCCUGGGAGGGAUGUGGAACACCCAACUCCUGCAGCCUGGAGCCAGAGACAUCAGCCCCUUCCCUGGCUGCCCACAUCUCCUCCUGCCCCAGCCAGGACACGUCAGGAGAGUGCUGUGACCACUCCUGCCUGAGCUCCAGCGCCCGAGGCUGGGA
rnacentral:lncRNA from 1 species